rnacentral:rRNA from 1 species
GAUGAACGCUAGCGGCAGGCCUAAUACAUGCAAGUCGGACGGGAUUUGGGAGCUUGCUCCUAAUGAGAGUGGCGCACGGGUGCGUAACACGUAUGUAACCUACCUUAAUCAGGGGGAUAGCCUCUCGAAAGAGAGAUUAACACCGCAUAACAUAUUUUUAUGGCAACGUAGAAAUAUCAAAUAUUUAUAGGAUUAAGAUGGGCAUGCGGAACAUUAGCUAGUUGGUAAGGUAACGGCUUACCAAGGCUACGAUGUUUAGGGGAUCUGAGAGGAUGACCCCCCACACUGGUACUGAGACACGGACCAGACUCCUACGGGAGACAGCAGUAAGGAAUAUUGGUCAAUGGGCGCAAGCCUGAACCAGCCAUGCCGCGUGCAGGAAGACGGCCCUAUGGGUUGUAAACUGCUUUUGUACCGGAAUAAACCCUUUUACGUGUAGAAGGCUGAAUGUACGGUAAGAGUAAGGAUCGGCUAACUCCGUGCCAGCAGCCGCAGUAAGAC